rnacentral:lncRNA from 1 species
GAGACAGACAAUUUCCAUUGUUGGGCAUUAUGCACAAUUUAGGAGAAGGUGACAAAUGAGGACCAUUGGGUACUUCACUGAUCUUUCCAUUUUACUUUGGCACUGUAUAGUUUUAGGUUUAAUUUUUAAAUGUAGUUUCCUAAGACAAGGUCAUCUGUUUUCAUCCCAUAUGGAAUAGGAAUCAAAUAUUAAUUACAUACUCAUUGCAUAUGAAAUUAGGAAAGUAAAGGGGAAAAAAUGACUUAAGUGUGGCCCAUCUUUUCAUGCUAGAACUCUCCC